AUAACUCAUUAAUAACAUAAAUUUACUUUUCAUCAAAAUUAAAUUUACAAAAUUAAUUUUCAAUAAACUUUUAUUUACAAACUUUAAUGUAAACACACACACGCCUAAUUAAGUAAUUAACACACCUUUUCUUACCAAUAUUAAAAAAAUUUGGUACUGCGUUUGAGGAGUUGAGCCUCUGCCCUAGACCUCCUCCUCUGCCCUCGGAGUCCAAUCAAACACACAGACUCUUGCCCUCUCUCACUCCAGCAGCGCCGCCGUGCCGCGCGCGCUCUCUCUCUCUCUGCACAGGAAGCCCGCAGCGGCACAAAGAAUCAGCGGCGAGGAAUCUUCUCUGACGGGGUAGUUUCCCAUUGCAUCGUCGAUCAAAAGCUGCGGUUGGCAUGGCUGUGGGAGGUGCUCGUCGAUCUCUUCGCACCGGCGUCCCUGGGGCUCUCUCCCUCAGUUGCAAGGUCUCUCUCCCUCUCGAAGGUGCUUUGUCUCUCCCUCUCUCAGUUCUGCGGCGGACGACGGUGACAUGAUCCUCUUCUUUGCCGGCGACUACCUCCUCUGCAAUACAAUCUACUAUAGAAUUCUAUUGGGCUCCAUACAUAGUUGAGUCCAACUCUGAUGUGGAUAUCGUAGGAGAUCCAAAGAAGUCUUCUCUUCUCAGAUACCUAUUUCCCUUCUCAAACCCUAAUUUUUGUAGGGAUAAUCGAUAAUCUGAAGUAGUUUAAUUUGUGGUGCUUACAAAUGGUUUUGCUUUAUUUUUGGAGCCUAUUAUUUUGUUUCAAUCCAUUGCAGUUUGAA